UACGUAGGGUGCGAGCGUUACUCGGAAUUACUGGGCGUAAAGCGUGCGCAGGCGGUUUUGUAAGUCAGAUGUGAAAUCCCCGGGCUUAACCUGGGAAUGGCCGUUGAAACUGGCGAACUGGAGUGUGGCAGAGGGGGGUGGAAUUCCGCGUGUAGCAGUGAAAUGCGUAGAGAUGCGGAGGAACACCGAUGGCGAAGGCAGCCCCCUGGGCUAACACUGACGCUCAGGCACGAAAGCGUGGGGAGCAAACAGG
rnacentral:rRNA from 1 species